rnacentral:rRNA from 1 species
UUCCAGACUCCUACGGGAGGCAGCAGUGGGGAAUAUUGCACAAUGGGGGAAACCCUGAUGCAGCGACGCCGCGUGAGUGAAGAAGUAUUUCGGUAUGUAAAGCUCUAUCAGCAGGGAAGAAAAUGACGGUACCUGACUAAGAAGCCCCGGCUAACUACGUGCCAGCAGCCGCGGUAAUACGUAGGGGGCAAGCGUUAUCCGGUUUUACUGGGUGUAAAGGGAGCGUAGACGGCAGUGCAAGUCUGGAGUGAAAGGCGGGGGCUCAACCCCCGGAGUGCUCUGGAAACUGUGCGGCUGGAGUGCAGGAGAGGUAAGUGGAGUUCCUCGUGUAGCGGUGAAAUGCGUAGAUAUUAGGAGGAACACCAGUGGCGAAGGCGGCUUACUGGACUGUAACUGACGUUGAGGCUCGAGAGCGUGGGGAGCAAACAGGAUGAGAUACC